UACGAAGGGGGCUAGCGUUGUUCGGAAUUACUGGGCGUAAAGCGCGCGCAGGCGGCUUCUCAAGUCAGUGGUGAAAGCCCGGAGCUCAACUCCGGAACUGCCAUUGAAACUGUGAGACUUGAGGACGAGAGAGGUGAGUGGAAUUCCCAGUGUAGAGGUGAAAUUCGUAGAUAUUGGGAAGAACACCGGUGGCGAAGGCGGCUCACUGGCUCGUUUCUGACGCUCAGGCGCGAAAGCGUGGGGAUCAAACAGG
rnacentral:rRNA from 1 species